rnacentral:rRNA from 1 species
AGUGAACGCUGGCCGUAGGCCUAACACAUGCAAGUCGAACGGCAGCACAGUAAGAGCUUGCUCUUACGGGUGGCGAGUGGCGGACGGGUGAGGAAUACAUCGGAAUCUACUUUUUCGUGGGGGAUAACGUAGGGAAACUUACGCUAAUACCGCAUACGACCUACGGGUGAAAGCAGGGGAUCUUCGGACCUUGCGCGAUUGAAUGAGCCGAUGUCGGAUUAGCUAGUUGGCGGGGUAAAGGCCCACCAAGGCGACGAUCCGUAGCUGGUCUGAGAGGAUGAUCAGCCACACUGGAACUGAGACACGGUCCAGACUCCUACGGGAGGCAGCAGUGGGGAAUAUUGGACAAUGGGCGCAAGCCUGAUCCAGCCAUACCGCGUGGGUGAAGAAGGCCUUCGGGUUGUAAAGCCCUUUUGUUGGGAAAGAAAAGCAGCAGGUUAAUACCCCGCUGUUCUGACGGUACCCAAAGAAUAAGCACCGGCUAAAUUCGUG